ACGGUAAGCCAAUUUUUAUCCAUUUUCAAAUUUAAUUCUUCACUUUUUUUGCUUAAUUUCAGUUUUGGCCUCCAAUGUUUCAGAAGUUUGCGAUUUUGGCAUCGUAUAAAAACAAUAACAAUUUUGUCCUUUAUGUUUAGCCCCUUUUGCAAAAGUGGCCCCUUCCUUUCAUUUUGAUCAAGUCAAUGCUUAUGUGGACACAUUCUUAGAUGACUAGGACGCCAUGUAUGUAUUUUUUUAUUUUAAAAUUAAAAGAAAAUCCAACUCAUCAAUGAUUAAAAAGAUAAUAAUAAUUAAAAAAACUCCUUCUUUCUCUUCUCUCUCCUCUCCUCUCUCAUAUCUCUUCUUCUUUCUCUUUGAUCUCCAUUAGAAAAUGAAGAACCGCAAUAAUAAUCACAAAUAAGUAACUAUUUUCAUGGAUGAACAACUCCUCAACCGCAACAUUAACAUCAACAACAAUCCUAUAUUUUCGAGUUUUAAAAAGGGUUGAGAAUAGAUUCUCGAAUUUGGGUAAAAGAAAAACUCCCAUUCCAUUAAUUUUGAAUCUGAAUGAACAUGGGAAUGCAAGUUUAAAUGAAUUCGGAUAUGCGAUACUGAAUAUGAUUCACCAAUCUGGGUUAAUAAAUAAGAAAAAGAAAAAGAUGUUGAUUUUAGGUUCUUCAAUAAGAUGAAGAAUACCAAUCUUGGUGUGUUUUUUCACUGUUUUCAGGUUCAUGUUUAUGGAAUUUUGUUUGUAUAUAUUGUGAGGCGCUAGCCUAAUGCCAUGGUAUGUUUUGUGCUGAUUAUGAAAAAAAAUGAAGAAAUUUUUGUUUUAGAAAUUCUGGAUAUUAGCCACGGUUGAACCGUGGCUAUAUGUGGUUUGACUGGGGGCUAAAGUACAGUAUACAAUGUUCUUGUUCUUUAAUUUCCAACUGUUAAAAAUGGGCUUGAUGAUGAAAUUGAAGCAAAAAUGUAUUAUUGCUAUUCUCCAUAUUUUUUUCUUAAUUUGAGCAAAAUUUAAGGAAAAUAGUUAGCUCAUGCUUUUAUGUGUGAUGAUUUUUGUUUUUUAAUUUGUGAUGAUUGAUUGAUUGUUGAUGUUAUUAAUUUUUAAUGGAGAGAGAAGAGAAAGAAGAAGAGAGAAGAAGAGAUCUAAGAGAGGAGAGGAGAGGAGAGAUAAGAUAAAUGAGUUUUUGUUUAUUUUUGUUUUAAUCAUUGAUGAGUUGGAUUUUCUUUUAAUUUUAAAAUAAAAUAAUCACACAUGACGUCCCUGUCAUCUAAGAAUGUGUCCACAUAAUCAUUGACUUGGUAAAAUUCAAAGGAAGAGACCACUUUUGCAAAAUGGGCUAUACAUAGAGGGCAAAAUUGUUUUUUUUUUAUAGGAAGCCAAAUCAAGAUUGUAAAGUAUUUAGGGCUAAAAUUACAAUUAAGCAUACUUUUUUAUAGUAUUUAAUUCUUUACAGAACAUUUCAUCCCAUUUUAGUUAUAUUUUUUUUUUUCAUUUCAUUCCAGCGUUGCGUCUUAGAUGUGUUCAUGUUUCUAAGUGUCCAAAAAUGUAUUGCAAUAGGGGUUUUGAACUAGGUUGUGUACAAAAAUAUUGUAAAUGUGUUAGAAUCACUUAAAUAAUAGAUUUUGUCCCCAUAUAUGUAUUUAGUUUCAGACCCCAGGAGAAUACACAAACGCCAUGCUCAAACUUUUCACGAGUUGUGAUUUGAUUAUUGUGUUGGAACCUAAUAAUUUGAAUUUCUUUCCCUUUAUAAGUUCAAAAACUUUGUAGUUAUGAAUUUGUACUAUAAGAGAUGGUAAUUAAAUAAAAUAAUCUAGUAAUUAAUAUUAUUUAGAUUGUUCCACUUUGAUGUAAGUUCAUGCUCUUGGUUUAUCUGAAAAAGUUAUUAUUUAAUUACAUUAUCUCCUGCUCUAUUAAUUUUAGAGAUAUCGCCACGCCCUUCAAUUGAGGAAUAUCACUUUGAUUUCAAAUCCUAUUGCCUAUCAGAAUACAUUUAACUUGACUCUGAAAAUCAAGGGAUAUUUUAACUCCAAGAGUAAGUGUAAUAUCUUACUCUAAAUCUUGACCUUUAAUUCCAAUUUUGGUUAAUGACUUAGAUUAAUUGAUAUGUUAGACUUUAAUUCCAUUUUCUAUUGUAGUCAUCAACACUUAUCAUCACAAAAUAACAAAACAAUAAAUGUCUUUUAAUUGAUUGAUUUUUUUUCUUCUUCCAUUGCUUAUUUUUGUUGUUCCACGCUAAAAGAAUUUUUGAGAGUUAACUUAAAAUUCUUUCCUUUAAAAAUUUCAAGAUUCACUCAUUUUUUUUUUUACGCUAAAAGAAUUUUUUAUCCUACCAUUGAUUUUUUUCUUCUCCCUUUACUUUUUUUUUACGCUAAAAAAAUUGCAUAUAUAUUUUUUUUUUAAAGAAUAGCAUAUUUAUUCUUCUCCCGUUACUAUUUUUUAUAGGACAUAUUUUUUUUUGGUUUUUUCAUCAUAAUCCUGAUCUUUUCUUAUAUUUUUUUGUAAACGCAUAUUUUUAUACUAAUCUGUCACGAAAAAAAAAAGACGAUAGAGGAAGUAACCCUGGUCUUUUCGUAUAUCUAAUUCAUUUACAAUAAUUGCAUAAAAAAUAAAUAAAUUUGUCUAUUUUCUUAUAUAAAUAACGACAAAUUAAAAUAAUCAUCUUCAUUGUAGUUAGUUUUUGUUGUCAUGGACAUACAUAGAUGAUGAUGUUAUUUGAGUAAGAAAAUGGAAGAAGAAAAAAAAUCAAACAAUUAAAAGACAUUAAUUGUUUUGUUAUUUUGUGGUGAUAAGUGUUGACUAUAAUAGAAAAUAGAAUUAAAGCCUACCAUAUCAAUACUAAGUUUAAGUAGAUUAUGUAAACUAAGUUUACAUGAACCUACUUAAACUGAAUUUAAGUUAACCUCAACAAGAAGAAGAAAAUUGAAACUAGUGUUAUUGAAAAAAAAAAUAUAUAUAUUCACUUAUUUAUAUGCAAUUGAGUAUAAAUGAAAGAUAUUUUGAUUCACUCUUUAAUCUUCGAUAGAGAUUAAUUGAACAUCAAGAUUGUUUGAUCGUUGGUGGGUGAAAGAGAGUGGAAUUUUAAAGUGAUAAUGAAUGAAAUUAAGAUUUUAAGAAAAUUUAUAUAAAAGGACAAUUUUGGUAUUAUAAAAAAAAAUUAAAAAAACUGGGUGUAACCAGAAAUAUAUAGGGUGUGAAUAGAAAAACUCAUCACAUGGUUGAUGACUAGGCACCUUAAUUUGGCCCAUUGAACUAGUGUUUUUUAAUAAAAUUUAUUUAUUCAGAAAGCUAAAAAAAAUUACAAUUAACUGUUAAUGUUAAAAGACAUAUAUGUGUCAUUUGAACAUGACUUAAAAGAGAUAUUUUGACGGGAUUUAAAAUUGAAUUUGUUGAUUACUUUUAAAAUUUUCCUUUAUUUUUCAUUUUUUUUUUUUUGUUGAUGGAAUAUAUAUAUAUAUAUAUCUUAGAGUUCUCUGAAUCACAUAGUUGCUGACCAUCACAUUGAAUUGAUUCUUUUAAAUAUAAUUUAUGAUAAGAUGUAUUUACUCAUGAAAAAAUGGUAAAUAUGCUUUUAGUCUUUAUAUAAUCACAAUUUCAAGUUUAGUCCCUAAAAAAUAAUCAAUUUUAGCCCUUAUUUUUAUUUUAUAUGGAUUAUUUUGGGAACUAAAAAUAUAAAUUUUGUAAAAAGUUUAAUAAUAUUGACCAUUCUUCUCUCAAAAAAACAAUAAUAUGGACCAUUUUUUUAAGGAUAAUAUGGAUUAUUCUUACGAACUGUGAUAUUGUGAAGAGCUAAACUUAUCAUUAAAAUUUAAAGAGGACUAAACUUAAAAGAUCAUGAUUUUUUUGGGAUUAAAAACAUAUUUAUCCAAAAAAAUUAAGCACAAUUAAUUGUUUAUGUAAAAAUAAUCACAAUUAAUUAAAAUUCUAUUAAGAGGGACAUGAAAUGUUUUUCAUUUGUUGAAGUAAAUGAUUAUUCAUUGAAGAAUGAUAUGAAAUGUUAUUUGGUAAAUACUUAAAGGAUAAUUGAUGUACUAAAAAAAAAAUUAAGGAUAAUUGAUUUUAUCAACUUUUUUAUCUCUCUCUUAUGGAAUAUGUCUUAUAACUCUUUGAAGAUAUGGUUGUUGACUAAUGACAUUAAUUUAGUCCAUUGAACUAUUUUUAUAAUAUACUUUAUUAUAAACUUUAUUUAUUCAAAAAAGGUAAAACAAUAAAUUGCAAUUAAUUGUUAAGAUUACGUUAAAAGAAUCACAAAUAAAAUUCUAUAAAAAAAUCACAAUUAAUUGUUAAGAUUACAAAAGAAUCCGAUUUUAUUUAAAUUUUACUAUACAAUGAAAGAUACUAUAAAACAUUGGGAUGAUUAUAUAUUUGAAAUUAAAAAGGAAAAAUACUAUAAAAACACAAUAUAAUUAUAUUUAAAAUCAAAAAGGACAUAAAUGUUUUGGAAACAACUUAAAAUGUAUUCUUUUUUAAGAGACUUAAAAAUUAAAUUUUUUAUUUUUGACAAAAAAACUUAAAAAGGAAGUUGUUAUUUACUUUUCUAUUUAUUUUAAUUUUUUUAUAUAUAGAAAAUGUCUCAUAAUACCCUGUAUCUCCUGGUUGCUCAAUUAAUCCACACAUUUUAACGAUGUUGCGCGUCUAAGUGUAUACAUGAAAUCCUUGUAUAUAUAAUAAGGAUUACAAGUGUAAAUGAAAACCGAAGAAUCUUAGACAAAUUCUCUAGUUAAAUAGUGGAAGGAGUUUUGAAGUUUCAUUUUCUACUGCUCUAGAAUCUUAGAGCAGUUUCACAUUUUUUUCAUUUCCUUCUUCCUAAUCCUAAUGCUUCGUCUGGUUUUGUUUUCUUCCUAAUCCUAAUGCCCCAACAUGUAAUAAUUUUGUUGUAAAUAACCAACUUGUUGAAACAUGUAAUAAUCUUUUGAGGGACAAAUAAAAUGUUUUGAAAAUCUUUCUAGUAUCAAAAUGGGGUUUACCUUAAAAUCAUGUUGGGGCAUCUCUGGCUGCUAGAAUUGUACAAAGAAUAUCUUUAGCAUGUUGUUCAUCUUUUGUUAUUUUCAUGAAUGGUUUGGUGUUAGAAUAUUAUGGAAAUAUCUCAUGAAUUUAAUAUUUUCGUAUCUUAAAACAAAGGAGAUCUAUGAGGAUUGAUUUCCAUAUUUCCUUAUAUUUCAGUGAGUAUCACAUUUCUCUAUUUAGAUUUGCAGUGAGUAUGUUUAGAUCUCCUUGGUUCUUACAAUAUUAAAUGUUUCAGGGACAAAAGAUAUCAAAGUUGAGUUUCGUGUUAUGGCUUCAACUUUAUCUAAAGAAAUGGGAAUGAUGGAUGCACAGUUGAAGCGAUGAGAAGAUGCAGCACUUGAAGCCGUAUCCUUGCGUGAGAAAGCACAUUCACUAAGAGCGAAAUUGAGUGGGAAGGUUAUUCACACAAAGUUCCCUUUCAUUUUCUUUGUCACCGACUUUGUGAUAGGUCUUUUACAGCAAUUUAUCUAGAUAAUUUGAGUCUGUCGAUGAUCUUUGUAUAGUUAGUUUUACAUAGUGUAGAGGUUGGAAGUGCAAAUCUAAUAAGCUGUCUUAAUUUUUGUUAUUAAUUUUUUAUGAAAUGAUUCACUCAAAUGUUAGCGGUAUGGAAAAAAGGUAGGAAAAUUGUUUUGACUUAGUUGAUUCCAAUAAAUAUAUGCUUACUGAAACUGACAGUUAAUGUGUGCAUGUUAAUUUAUAGGAAAUGAAUGCAAAAAUUCCAAUUUGGUUGUAAUAAAUCAUGCCUACUGUAUAUAUAAAACAAUAUGAUUAGUAAAUGAUAAAAUGUGGUACUUUUAGAAUUUGGGUACGGCAUAAAUCAACCCUUACGAACCCGCAAUAGCUUCUUCGGGUUGAUAAUAUUUUCUUACAUGGACUCUCAUGUGUUCGUAUUGUCCUGUUUGAUCCCUGCAAUGUGCACCAUGAUUAGCUUGCUCGCUUCAAGAGGUCGUCACAAAGUACAGUCCCAACUCUUGCGAUCUUUUUGUCGGGCCUCAUUUUCUCCAUCCUGUAAGAUCUCAUGAGAUCCAUGUGAGGGAUAUUAUCAACUCGAAGAAGUUAUUUGAGUACGCAGUCAUCACCUUGCAAGCCAGUUUGUAAGGGCUGAGUUAGACCCAACCUAAAUUCUAAGUAUUCCACUGGAAUAUCUUUUGUUGACUUAAACCAGUUUGAAUUUAAUGACUUGUCCUUGAAGUAUUCUGCAAGAGUUUAUAGGUUGGUUCUUGUCCUUGAAUUUAUACCAUACAUACUUUUUAAGCAUUAAGGUUUAUUGGUUCCUUUGUUUUGAAGCGGACAAGCGAACUGAAGAGCCUUGCAAAUAAAUGUGCUGAACAGGUUUUGGGAAUGAAGACUUCAAAAACAUUGGUAAGUCUUACCUUUGUGUUUUUCUUUAUCUGUUGUGCUUUCCAAAUUUUAUGUUAGAUGUUAAUAAAAAACCUCUUUCUCAUUGCUACAAGAUGUUAAAUUCUUUGCUUAUUAACAGAAUGCAGAUAAUGUCAUACUAGUUCCAGUCUCCAAAAUGUUUGUUAUUUCCUUCAUUUUCCCCUUGUAUUCAAGUUUUGGUGGAUUAGUGAAGAACAUGUCCUAUCAACCUUGCUACUUAGCCCCCUACUUAUAUAUUUUAUUUUGAUAUUUCACUAAACAACUGUGUUGCUGCUCACUGUUUUAAACAAUUAUUUGAACUGAGCAGAUCGAACGCAUUAUAUCAAACACUAAAUGCACUCAAGAUGAAAAACACCUUGCAGCCGCCUUAGAGUUUUCCCGGUGGGAAUUGUCUGAUGCUGAGAAGGAGUUGAAAUUGCUCAUGUCUGUUGCUUCAGCUUCAGAGAAGGAUUUGGAUAGCAAAAGGUAUUUUUCUCUUAGUCAGUCGAUCAAGUCUGGAUCCAGAACAAAUUUUUAAACAGAAAUAUUCACAUCAGGGUUCAAACACGAGAUGUGAUUGAUAAUAUGAUUGACUUUGAAAAAUGAUUAUCUCGUAUGAAAUGCCCUCUCAAUUGGCUCAACACAUACUCAUCCAAUUAUGUCAUGCAGGAGUUCACAGAAGAAGCUGGAGGAAGAACUAAUGAACGUGAACAACCAAAUUGCUGAGCUGAAUUCUGAAACUGGAGAAACCGUAGUACAGCAACUUGAAGAAGAAGAAGAAAUAAGAGUUUGCAAAAACAUGAUCAAGUGUACUGUCUUUUCUGACCGUCCAAAGGAGGUAAAAACAGGCCAACUUAUCCAACUUUAGUUUUUUCUUUUAUGGUUAAAUUAACUUGGGAGUGUUUGAAAGAGCUUAUUUUAACCAUCUCAUUUCGUAAGCAUUUAUAUUUUUUAUUUAGAUGCAUUCUUAAAAAUAACUUAUGACCUAUUCAAAAGUUUUUUUUAGCUUAUUUAAACAAAUUCUUUAUUGUAGCUUACAAGCAAGAGCUAAAUCAAGCUACCUGGUAUAGUUUAUCGAUUAAGCGCUCAAUUAAGCUAUUUUCUGCAAACGCACGCUAUUUUUUUUGGUAUUGUAAUUGUUUUGAGAUGGAAAAGUACAUAACUGAUUCAGCAUCUUUUUUUGGACUAGCAUUUAUGGAGACUAAGCUUUUUGAACUUUGGAAAAGUCUAAAUAAAAUUUAUCGCAACAGCAUUAUCUAAGAGUUUGAUCUGUAUUUGGCAGGUUGUGAUUUUGAAGUGUUAUCAUCUGUUCUGCAAUCCAUGUAUACAAAGAAAUUUUGAACUCUGUCAACGCAUGUCCUGCCAGCGGAACAGCAUUUGGACCGACUCAAUGAAGCACGGACACUCCUCGAAUUAGGCGUGUCCUGGUGUCGGACACGCGUCAGUGUCCGACACGACACUUAUAAUUACACUGUAUUAUGUCAUUUUCUCAAAUUAUUAUCCGUGUCGGCGUGUCAGUGUCCGUGUCGUGUCCGGUGUCCGUGUCUGUGUCCGUGCUUCAUAGGGACCGAGCAAUGUUCGCUUCGUAAAAUAUGAGAUUGACUCGUGUAAUUAUACCUUGCGUUUAAUGUUUUGGAUCCAUUUUCAUUGUUGUUUGUCCCUGUUACCUCUUUAGACAAGCAUUCUUAUCCAAUAAGCAAUAAAUUUUUGGAUUAUAGACAUUGAUAUUUCUUGCACUUUUUUUGUGUAUGCUAUACCAAUCUACUUUCAAGUAGCAUAAUAAGUGCUACAUCGUGACUUGUGAGGCAACAUAUUUUACUUCCUACUUCAUGUUUUAAUUUAUAGCUUUUAUAGACAAAUAUUAAUUGUUCGAAUAUUCUAUUGGUAGUCAGAGCUUGAGUUCUUGAUCUCUUUCUCAAACUCUUUCGAGUGUCUUAAACUCAACCACUUGAGCUACGCCUCAGCGAGAAAGUGAUGGUUCAAGAGUGCAGUAGCCUUGGAUCCCUCAACUGUCAGGUGUAGGAAAUUUUUUCUGCUAUGUGAAGCCAACACCAGAUCCAUGAUUUAUUCAUAUUUAGUUUUAUAACGGUUAAAAUUUACACAAGGACCCCUUGUUCCUUCCAGUGCUGCUCAACCAACCUCACCCCCCUCCAUCACCAACUCCCAUUCCACACAUUCUCCCUCCUUAUGAUUCAGAGUACCAUCAACCCCUAGAAAAGAUACUCUAUAACCUCCAUUGCUAUUCUCUCUAUUUUUCAGCAUCGAAAUUCUCGGAAUUACUCCCUGAGUCCAAUUCGGUCUUAAUUGGUAUACUGAGUGAUAAUGUGGCACAAGAUGGUGACCAGUGAACCCAUCAUUGGCAAAGUUAGCGCAUGUUCGGAGAAAUUAAGUGUCAGGAUGGAAGAAAUUCGCAAACUUGUAAUCACUCAACAUAGCAAGAUGAGCACUCAUCGCACCAAAACAAAUCUCACAAAUGAAGUUGCGACAAUGGUUGCCAACAGCCUUAUGCGACAUGUAUCUCAAAGGUUGAUUUCCCUAGGUUCGAUGAAAAGCGGAUGAAGAAAUGGCCUUAUGUGACCAAUUCUUCACACUCGAUGCUACCCUGGAAGACUCAAAGGUUCGUUUAUCUUCCAUUCAUUUGGAAGGUUCUUAACAUAGAAAAUCUUCAUGCCACGAUCCAGAUCAUGGUCGAUGACCUUAAAUCUGUUGUACUUGUACAUUUUGAAGAAACAUUGACUUAAAAUCACUGUCACGCUAGCUCAAUUGUAGUUUCUUGUGCUACUGUCAUGUAAAAUGCUUUCUAUGCAUCACAAGCAAGACAAAGUGUUUCUGCUACUACACUAUCAUAGGACUCUUGGAUGCAUUCUUUUCUUUUUUUUGGUGGAAAUCUUGCUCUUAGUCUCAGAGAUGUUGCUCAUCUCAACUAAUAUGUUUGUAAAAGAAAAGAAUUUUUCAAGACUAUAAGCGGCGUUCAAUAACAAAUCUUACAAGUUUUAAUUUUAGCAGAAAGAUAGAACAAGUUCUCCCCUCGUGAUAAAUUCUAGUACAGCCACUUCCCACUUAGUUAGUUACAAGCAUGUCUUUUUCAAAUUGUAUUACUACACACAACAUUUGUGUCCUUCAGUAGUGAUAAUUCAAAUCAAUACAACUCAUACAUUGAAUUCCAAAUCCGUGUUGAUUAUUUGGGUGGCGCUCCUAUUCACAACGGUACUUCUGUCCGCGAUGACAGUGGCCAGUGGGUGGUGCUUCUGGCUGGUGGACGGUGGCGCUUCGCGAUGGCAAGUCCCUAUACACUCUGUUGCCAAUAUAUUCUAUGCACAGCAAGCCUUAACCUCUCCAAUUUUAAGCAAAGUGAAUGCAUCAUAUGCAACUCUAAGUCUACGAUUUACACCACCUCUAUCAAAACAUAGACUUCAUUUAAGCAAGAUUUCAAUCAUGUCAAACAACAUAUAAUCCUUCCAAUAAUAAAAUUUAACAUUAGUUUCAAAGCUCAACCAUUCACACGCCAUGUUGCAAAAGAAUCGACUUAGUACAUGACUCAUUCAGAAAUUCAGUAAAAAGUUUCAUAAGCACUACAUAAUUGUCCCAAUUUUUUAGAGAUUGAUGAAGUAGGGAAACUUUCCAAACAGUAGGCAUAUCAGCUAAAAGUUGCAGAAAAUUGUAGCUCUUCACUUCUUUUUGAACUGAAGCUUCGUGUACCUAAAUAUACAUAUAUAAAUAUCAAAUUAUCUCCAUUGAAUUCAUUUAUGUCUUGUAGUUUCUAACCUACGGCAAAGAGAUAUAACAGCAUAUUAAAAUGUACUUAAAACUACAAGCAUAUUAUCUUGUGGUGUGAAUAAAGCAUUAAUUUUGAUUCACUUCACUUGCUAUUCAAUCUCUCAUCACCUAGUUACAAUUUAAUAUUGAUUUUUAUCAUGUAUGCUAGUAUUAGAACCUUAUUAUUUCUUGAAAUAAAGAAGCAUAAAAGAUAGCAUUCUAGGCUACCUUACUAAUACCAUUCAGUCAGGUAACUAGAUUUUGGCGGGACUCAAUUCAUCCUAAAAUCAUACAAAAUUACAAGUUUGCAUUUGUGCAACAAAGAGAAUCAUGCUUCCUACAAGCAUCAAGAUCUACACUAUGCUGUGCUCCUCGUAGCAAUUCCAUGACCUUUCCAAUUCUCGAUACUUCUCUUAUGUUUAAGUACACAGCAACUUAAGGGCCACGCUUGUGCCUGUUGCGUCUACAACACAGGUCAUAGCAAUUCAACCUUAGGUGUAGAAUUCUAAAAUCAUUAGCCAUAGUAAUGCUAGAAUCAUUAUGCAGAAGUAUAAGUAAGAAUUCCAAAGAAACUGUUAUGUGAAAAUCGUUAUCUGUAAUGCAUGGAAUCAGUAUGAAUUCAGAAGGGUGAUCUUUUCCUUUUGAUUCUUCCCUUAAGGAUUAAAGAUAGAACAUGAACACUUACUAGUGCAAGCAUCUUUUCUGUUGUUAUUGUAGAUGUUCACCUCCAUGCUGCAAACAUCAGCAUUCAGCCUUGUAACUAUGUUUUUGUCACAAACAGAAAUAAGAGAUUCUCUAGCAUUCAGCAUCUUUUCCAUUUUUGUCAUGACAUUGUUAGUAUUAUUUUUUUUUAAUAAUAUUCAAGAGUCUAGAACUUGUAACUUCUUUGGCACAAAAUCAUCUUCAGCCAACUUCUGCUACGAUAUCACCCUAUUCAGGUGCAGAUUUAAACUAUACUGGUGCAACACAAGGAGAUGUGAGUUCCAUUCUGUGUAAUGUAGAGGGUCCUGGCUUAAAUUUCAGAUCUCUUGAAGCUAAUAACGGUUUUGAGUCAAUAAUAUAAAUCACUUCUCAUCGACUUCUCUCUACGCUAGUCACGUCGCACUACACUCUGCAGUGUUCUAGAGAAAGUGUAGUAGAAGUUGUAAAAUCCAAAGACAACAAUAACAAUUAUAUUCUACCACUUCCCUCAAGUUGAAACUCACCAAUCUCUCCGUUUUUUAAGUAUAAACACACUUAAGAAAAGAAACAACAAUAGCAAACUGCAAAUGUUUGUUUCUCAUUAGGCUAAGCAAAAACAAAAAUAAAACAAUGACAUGAAGUUGAAAUAUAAAUUCAAAAUAACAAUGUGUAACAAGAAAGCCAUCUUACCUAUUUACAUACAUUGUUAUAGUAGACCUCUUACAAUCAUUUCACGAAGUUUCUUUGCCUUAUCAUAUUCACCUUUAUCAAACAAAGAAUGGAUAAUUAUUUCAAAAGUUUUAGCAUCUGGAAUGCAACCACUGGCUUUCAUUUUUGAUACCAUGGCCAAUGCACCAUCAAACAAGCCUGUCAUACCCCUCUGGUAAGUGGCACCAGCAUUUAUCAAACCAAAUGGCAUCACCACAUAACAGAAAGCACCCCAGGGCGUGAUGAAAGACGUCUUUUCUCUAUCCUCAGGAGCCAUCCUGAUCUGAUUGUAGCCGGAGAAACCGUCCAUGAAGGAGAAAACCUUGCACUUAGCAGUGUUAUCAACCAAUACAUCAAUGUGAGGCAAAGGAAAAUUAUCCUUCGGACUAGCCUUGUUCAAGUCCCGAUAAUCAACACACAUUCUGACUUUACCAUCUUUCUUUGGAACAGGCACUAUGUUGGCCAACCAUUGAGGAUACUCUGAUGUGACUAGGAAACCUGCAUCAAUUUGCUUUCGCACUUCCUCUUUGAUCUUGAGGGCCAUAUCAGGAUGAGAUCUUCUCAAUUUCUGUUUUACCGGAGGACACUCAGGCUUCAACGGUAGUCUGUGUUCAACGACAUCAGGGUCUAGACCCGGCAUGUCUUUGUAUGACCAUGCGAAUAUAUCAACAUAUUCUCUGAUAAGCUCAAUUACUCUUUUCUUGACAGAUACAUCCAACGAUGCCCCAAUCUUGAUUUCUUUCUUGUCUUCCUCAGUACCCAGAUUGAUGAUUUCUAUCUCCUCCUGAUGAGGUUGAAUUGUCUUCCUUUCUUGUUCCAACAUCCAUUUGAUCUCAUUCGGGAUCUCCUCAUCCUCCUCUGCCACAGCCUCGUAAACCGGGACCUCAAAGUUGGGAGAAAGCAUGGGGUCACUGUGUUCAACGGAUUCACUUAUGUUCAGUCUGCACAUGAUUCAUGAUUGAUUUUAAUGAGUAAAUGCAGACCUUUGGUUUUGAAAUUUAAAAGAAAAAGAGAAUGAUUUUUUUGGAUUUUUGUAUUACCAUUUUUUCCAGAAAAAGUAACAAAAAAUAAAAAGUAAUAAAGGCCGUGAUAGAAACGACGAUUUUUAUUUGUAAUAAAAGUACUAGAAGCAAAACAAAGCCCUACAUGAUUUCACUUUCGCCUUGGGCAGAACGAAAGGAGUUUUCUUAAAAACAAAAAACAACAAGAGACAAGACAAACACAUUACUUAGAGCGGGGUGUCACAGAAGGAAUGUCAACAGCAAUCCAGUUGCAGCAAGCUCCUCCAGGCGUCACAAAGACCGGUGUCACUCCUCCAGAUACAUCAUCUAAAAUUGCAUUGGUCUCUGGCGAAUCAUGAAUGAAACCAGCACUGUGGAAAGAACCUCUGGUAGGGUCGAACAUCCCAGGCUUACUGUUAAGGAAACCAAUUCCCUCCUUACGCUUGUUUUCUGGCAACUCCACUAGCUGACCCCAGCCUUCGGUUUUGCCUUCCUGAAUUACUCUCCGGGCAUCCUUCAACGAAGCCAUACAAGUCUCAAUCUUACCGACACUUUCUUCGGCAGAGAACCCUUGGAAUGAUGGCCCGUCCGAACUACUACCACCGAUAACAGAGAAAGCAGACAAAUUGCUGAUUAAAAAGGCCGAUUCGCCACUCACAGUGAUCAACUUUCCACGACUUACAAACUUCAAUUUCUGAUGGAGAGUAGAUGUCACAGCCCCAGCGUCAUGAAUCCAUGGUCUGCCGAGCAAACAGCUGAAAGAAGCCUGGAUUUCCAUGACUUGGAAAGUAACCUGAAAUUCAUGUGGGCCGACCGAAAUUGGUAAAUCUACCUCACCAUACACCGAUCUCCUAGUUCCAUCGAAGGCCCUUACCGUCACCUUGCUAAGUCUCAAAGGAGCCUCGGAGUAUGCCAAUUGGUCGAAAGUUGACUUGGGCAUCACAUUAAGUGCAGAGCCGGUAUCUAUCAGGACGUUGGAUAACGAGUCCGUUCUGCAAAGUACAGAGAUGAAUAAUGCUUGAUUAUGCUUAUUCCCCUCCGCCGGGAGAUCUUCAUCACUGAAAGUCAGACUGUUACAUACGGUCACAUUCCCCACAAUGCUUUCGAAUUGACCCAGAGUUACAUCAUAAUCCACAAAUGCCUGGUCUAGUACUUUCCUCAGGGCAUCCCGAUGAGCACCAGAACUUGAUAACAGGGCCAUGAUGGAAAUCUUCGCAGGAGUUUGUAACAGCUGGUCCACCACCCUGUAUUCACUCUUCUUGAUCAGCUUCAAGACUUCAUCGGCAUCCUCAAAGUCAAACUCUUUGGCCUGCUCCCCAGCUUUACCUUUACCGGCGUUUCGCUCUUUUACUGGCUCAUCGACCGGAACACUAACACUCUUCGGACCCACCGUAGGAAAGAUGCGGCCACUCCUCAAAAUCCGGCUAUUCUCUGCGAUAUUAUCCACAGCAACAGGUGAAGUUGUCUCACUUCCGGGCUCUAGAAUCGUGCCUUCAUACUUGUAGGGUACAGCUUUCUGAGCAGUAGUAGGCGUGGGCCUAGGCACACAGAUUACCAAGGGAGUACCAACGGGCUUUGUACUGUUAGGGUUUAUCACCAGCGGCCUCCUGGCUCUGAAUACCGGAGUGACAACGCAGACGUCCUUGCUCUCGGGUUCCCUUGUAACCACAAGUUCUCUUCUAUUUAGGAGACCCUGCACAUCAUUCUGGACUUGUAUACAUCCACGAGGAUCCAUCGAACAUAUGUCACAAGCUUCAUGAUUGUGGUUGAAGAGAGUUGCUUUACACAUUUUCACAUGUAUCGGUACCAGAGGAGUCUUGAUAUCACCUACAGAGAGAAUGCGAGCCUCUUCCUGAUCGUCUUGAAUCAUAUUAACAGCAGGCCCAUGAGUAGGCAGAGGAUUGUUCUGAGCUACAGCAUCAGGGUCGGUGAAGGUUAACUCUUUACUAUUUAUCAGUUUCUGAACCUCUUUCUUAAGAGCAAAACAACGCUCCACAUCGUGGCCUGGUGCCCCUUGAUGGUAAAUACAAUGAAGGUCCGGACGGUACCAGCGUGGGAGAGGGUCCGGAAUGCGAGGAGGUGGUAUUGUUUGGACCAGAUUCUGUGCAAGUAAAGAAGGGAGCAAUGCUCCAUAGGUCAUUGGCAAGGGGUCAAAUUGUUGUUUUUGAUUUUGCUGGUUGUAGGGAGCUUGAGGACGGGGUUGUUGUUGUGGGGGGUUAUAUGGCCUUUGUUGGUAUGGUUGUUGAGGAUAGUAGGGUUGUUGAGGAUGGUAGGGUGGUUGAGAGAGUUGUUGUGGGUUAUAUGGUUGUUGAUAUAGUGGGGGAUAGUAUAAUGAAGGCCCUUGAGGUCUUGGUGGUUGAUAGUUUGGGUUCUGGGGUGCGGUCAUUUGUGGGGUGAUAUUGGCAACAAAGAGGUGAUUAGGGUACACGGGCUGAGGUCCUCCAUGAGCCACCAUGCCAACCUCUUGAGCAUUCCUCUUUGGGUAACCAUUCCCAAAUUUCUUAUUACCACUGGACGAAACUCCUGAAGAACCACCUGAAGAACUUCCCGAAACAGCUGCUCCCUUACGAGCCCACUCCUCGAUACGCAUUCCUGUUUCCACCAAGUCAGUGAACUUCUGUGAUGCACAGACAAUCAUCUUUUCUGAAUAACAAGGGCUCAGGGUUUCAUAGAACAAAUCUGAAAGUUCCCUCUCAUCCAAGGGAGGACGAAUCUGAGCAGCUUUUUGAAUGAAGCGUUGUGCGUAUUCUUUGAACGAUUCUUUAUCUUUCUGGGUUAAGGACUGCAACUCCUUGCGACUUGGCGCCAGAUAGGUAUUAUAUUUGUACUGUUGCAUGAAGGCCUCAGCCAACUGUUCAAAAGUAGUGACUCCUUUCAAUCCCAUGAACCAGGUAUGUGCCGGACCAGUCAAACUAUCCUGGAAGCAGUGAAUGAGUAAGGGAACAUUAUUCUUGUAAGCUAUCAUCUUGCUAAUAUACAUAGUUAGAUGAUUUUGUGGACACGUGUCCCCUUGAUACUUCUCAAAUACAGGCAUCUUGAACUUUGGAGGUAUGUUUACAUCUGGUACCAAGCAAAGGUCAUAUAUGCUUUGGACGACUGUUUCCUUUCCCCGCAUAUUACUCAUCUUCUUCUCUAGAGCACCGAACCUUUCUUCCCAAUCGAUUGCUUUAUCAUCCCCCAUUAUACUGUCAGAGUGAUAAAUCUGCUCUUCAUGUUGUGGCCCAACAUGCACAGUAGGACCUGCUUGAGUCAUGGUAGCUUGAGGAAUCGGUUGACUCAUCUGGAAAUGUGCCGAAGUCUGUUGACCCUGUGCGAAAGGCAUUUCAGUAGCGCCUGGACCAAAAACCCCGUUAGUUGCAAUCGGCAUGCCCCAAGGGUAGCCUGAAGGCAUGGAAUAUUGAGGAGUAGCAAAGGGACCCUGGGGGCCAAGAGGACGGAAGCCUGAGUUGCCCAUAGUUGCCAUAUUACCAGAAGAAAAAUCAGUUAUCAGAGGCUGGGUGAGGCCGAUAGUUGUAGUAGUAGUCGGAGAUGGUUGCGGGGGACCCUCAGGUGCAGCUGUGACAACCACAACAGGAGCUGAAUUGGAGAUUGCUGCUUGCUCUCUCUCAGCCAUCAUAGUUUCCAUCAUAAGUGCCAUUCUUUCCAUCUCCCCCUUGAGGUUAACCAGUUCCUCUCUGAGCUGAGCGUUUUCCUGUUCUGCCGCUAACAUCCUUUUCUUGAUAUGAGCUCGAGUGUUGUGAAUGCGAGCGGGUUUGUACUGAAUACGCCGGGCCACUUUGCUUUUCUGAGGCAGAAAUGAGGAGAGUAUGAGACUUGGAUUUUGAUACUUUUUAUGAAUGCAAUAUGAUGCAUGAUAUGCUAUAUGCCAAAAUAUGCGAUUUUUAUAUAUAUUUUUUUUUAUUUUUAUUGAAGGACCUAUAAAAGCAGUUUUGUAAACAUACCAACCUAAACAAAUCAUAAAAAAACAAAGUUGAUUACAAGAUAAUUCCCUUUCUAACAACAAAGCCAAGGGAUAAACUUUCAAAGAAAAACAAGAUAAUUCCCUUUCUAACAACAAAGCCAAGGGAUAGACUCCGUAACUACACAAAAAAACAUCAAAACAAACUGAAAGACUCUCAAGCCUCUGAACCGAGCUACUCCUCAAAAUCAGAAAGCGGCCCAUCAAAGAGAUCCAUACGUUUCUUCUUCCGCCCGGGAAUUUGAUCAAGCGCGGCAUCUUUCUCCUUGAUACUCUUUUUCAGCUGGGCGAUUAUCACAUCUUUCUUGUGGCUAUCAUAAGCUUCUUGCUCUAGUAGGGCCAUCACAGCCUCAUAUUCCUGAUCCUUUUUCUGAUACUCCCCUUUCCACUUUUGUACUUCACGUUCCGCCUCAACUAAACGCUCUUGGUAUUCCUUCUCGGUGUCAAAGGUCAUAGGUAGGGGUGGUGCUGGAGUGAUUGCAGAUACAAAUCUUGAUAUCUUGUAAGGCAUCCCAAUUUGAGCAACUCUAUCUAUCACCCACUGAGUAUAUGAUUCAUGAACGGCUCCUGUCUUCCUCCCUAACUGGCUCUUGUCUCUUCUACGAAUGGUGUGCCAAGCUCGCACAACCUGCUCUUUCAUGCCUUUACUGUCAUCUACGUUGAGGUAAUACACAUUCUCUAGAUAGAUGCUGAGCGGCUUCCCUUCCAUGGGAUAUCCGAACUGACGUCUGGCAAGCGUAGGAUUGUAGCUAAUUCCUCCUUCUAUACCAAGAAGGGGUACAUUGGCAAAUUUCCCACAACUGUCAAUAAUAGUUCCUUUGUCAUAAACCCGAUCGUACCACACUACCUCGGUUGGAGUCAGGGACAUGAGUCUUUUUGACCAAAGAAGGUUUUCUGGAUUGGUGGUGAAGCGAGGAGUUCGGGGUAAGUGCGAGGUGAUCCAUCGAUAUAGCAAUUGUGCACAACAAAGGAUAGUUCCACGACCAGCCUGGGUGCGCCUAUGGAUGGAGAGGUAAGUAUCACCUAAUAAGGUAGGGACAGGGUUCCUUGACAAGAAAAUUUGAAUGGCUUUAAUGUCCACAAAGUUGUCGAGGCUAGGGAAGAGUACGAGGCCAUAAAUAAGCAAGGCAAGGAUGGAGUUAAAGGCAUAGGCAACCCCCAUUUUGUCAAAGAAUGUGGUCCUUUCGUAAAGAAAAUCGGUGGAGAAACCCAAAAGUUUUCCCUUAGUGAUGAGAUGUGCUUUCACUUCGUCCGUUUCAAGAUGGAGAGCUGCGGCAAUGGUUGAGUGCUUGGGGAUUUCCUCGAGGCCACUGAAAGGUACUUUGUCCAACACUGGUAGAUUAAUCCAACAAGAGUACUCCUCCAAGGUGGGGAGAAUCUGGUAAUCUUGAAAAGUAAAGCAAUGGUAGCCCGGGUCAUAGAACUGAACAAAAGCGUUGAGAAGCCCUUCGUCGAUAUCUGUCUUAACAACACCCAUCAAAUUUCCAUGUUGCUUGUAGAAAUCGUCCAUACAAACCACUUUCUUCCCUAGCUUCCUCAAACUCAAGAGAUCUGGCCUCCUGAAACUAUACUGCCUAAGGUUCCUCAUAUCUACAAUGUUUACAACAAAGCUUUUAUAAGUCCUUCAAAAAAAAUGAUGAAUGGAAAAAAUAUUUAUGGAUGGAUGCAUGUAUGCAUGAUGAAGUUAAAUUCAUAUGUUGGAGUCAAAGGGUAACAACGCCAUUUGGUAAGGACUAAGGUUUUUAGAUUGCACUUGUAACAAGGGUUCUACCAAGUUCCCAAAGUCUUUAACCACUUCCGAAUAUUUAUCGGGUGACGGGAGUACUCCCAUUCCAAUUAUAUUCGUCGGAAAGUCUCGUUUGGGUGUAGUAUCGCGUAUCAACUAAUUCAAGAGUACUCUCGAUUAGCCACCGCACUACGUUCCUAAAAGGCCAAGAUGGGUUACAGGUGACUAAAGGUCCUCAACUUCAAAGGUCACUUGAAAAUAGCAUGCCAAACAUGAGUACUCACGUUGACAACAUAUACUUCCAAGAUCCCUCCGUUGAGUGGGGUUAUCACAUGUGCCAAUACCGAAGAGUACUCUUGGCAUGGAACUAUGAUUAUACCACCGUCCUAUCUUAAGUUUCCCUCAAGCUCGGGUGUAGAGCUUAUCGCACCACUCACGUAAUAAAGCAAACAUGUAAGCAAAAUAUUUACAAAGCAUAAACAAAUAAUAAAGCACAAAAUAAAGAAAGUGAGGUGGGUUUAACCCGCAUAGGAUCUAAGUCCCCAGUGAAGUCGCCAUUUCUGUGCUCGCGAUUUUCGGAUAUCAAACCAUUGAUUGAUUUGAAACGUCAAUCUUUGAACUCUCGAUUUUUAUUCUUGGGAAGGGAAAAAAUGAGUAAAAACCCUUAUCGAGACUUUGGAUUCGGGGGUUGGUUUCGAAUAGGGAAGGUGUUAAGCACCCUAAACGACUAUGGUAUUCCAUAGGAACCUCUUACCUAGAUUAUCUUGUGCUAAACUACUUGUUUAUUUGAAAAAUUAUUGCCUAAUGUCUAAGUGAAAGAAUGGAGGGAGAAGAAGUAUAUUUUUAUUUGAUUUGGAAGGACGAGUCCUCUGCCUACGUACCCUUUUUGGGAAAGGGAUCAAAACCGACGUAGUUCCACUCAAAAAUUUCUUUGGUGGGUUAGGUUGAUUUUAAGAUUUUUGAAAAUGGUUUUAAGAAGAGAAAGAGGCCUCAAGGCAUGAGAUAAAAGAAAUGAGUGAGGUUGAUUGAUUUUAAAUUUUGAAAAUGAUUGAAGUUGAAUUAAAAUUGAUUGAAAAUUUGAUUAAGAAAAUAAAGGGAAAAUGUUGCUAAGAAAAAAUAUUUUUUGAAUUUGACAUAUUUGAUUUUUUUUGUGAAAAAUGAUUUUUCUAAACUAACGGUGAAAACUAACGUAACGUCGUAAAAAACUAACGGAAAGCGGUAAAUAAAAUGUGGUAGUGUCGGUGCUUGUGUUACCUACAUUAUUACAUCAAUUCCUAAAUACAACCCUAAGGCCUUUAUGCCAAAAUAAAAUGCAAGAAAUAAAAUUACAUCAAUUCCCUAUUUAUACAUACUAAGUCAAUGACAAAAUAAAAUGAUGAGAAAAUUGAAUAUGCAUGCUAUGAUUUAAGACAAAAAUUAAAUGGUUAGUAAUCACAAGGAAUAUUAUGAUGAAUGAGACAUAAGAAAUAAUAAGCAAGAAUUAAGAUAAUAAAAAAUUUAAGAUCAUCAUAUAAGAAAUAAUAAAAAAAACAAAUUAAAAGGGAAAAAAAAGGAUGGAUUUUUAACAAUGAUAGAAAAUUAAAAAUAGUGAGAAAAAACAUUUUUGGAAUUUUUUUCUAAACGUAAAAAUGUCAAAAAGAAUAAAAAACAGCAUUUAAAAAGUAAAAACAAUAACAAAUAAAAAUAAUAAACAAAUUGGCUCAGCAGGAUUAAUUCUGGACCAUUGGAUUAAAUCAAUGGUCCAAGUUCAAACCCCUGGAUUCAUCAUAGCCAUUGGAUCAAAGAUCCAAGGGUUUAAAAAAAAAACCACAAAAAUAGAGAAGAUAACAAGAGAAAGCACAAUGACCGUCAGAUCAACGAUCUGACGGUUCAAACAGAAAGCAUACCACAGUCCACACAGCAGAACACAUACAGAAUUUAAAACAGAUCAAACAGUGGCCGUCAGAUCAUGGAACGAUCCAGAUCUGAUGGCUACUAACGCGAUGGAGCAUUGUAUGGUUAUGAGUACGCGCGCGUGUGAUCCGGCAAAAAAGAAAACAUUAUAAAAGCAAAUUUAACAAAAAAAUAACAUAAAAUUAAAACACUUCUCUCUCUAAGUUAAACUUAGAGAGAGAAACUCUCCCCUCCCACAAAGAACACACGCGGCCGGAGAAGAAGAAGAGGGGCGGCCAGAGCUGCUCCGGCGCGGUGGUCGGCCGGAGCGCCGCCGCGCCGGAGUUUUUUUUUUUUUUGCUUUUUUUGAAAUUUUUUUACAUCAAAAUACUCCUCUUCCCUUCCUCUACUCGAAUCCAAGCUCAAAACUUCGAAAACAAACACCAAAAAUCCUAGAUCUACAAGUGAAAAUGUGAAAUUUUUACCUCUUUUUCCGGUCUCCUCCUUUCCUAGCUUGAAUCCGGUCCGUUUCGUUCCCUUCCUUUUCCGGUUCGGCCUCCUCCUCUUCCUUUCCGGUUCGGCCUCCUCCUCUUCCUUUCCGGUUCGCCUCUUUCCUUGCUUUCCGGCGCGGCUCUUUCCUUGCUUUCCGGCGCGGAUUUGUGCUAGUUGUGGUUCGGAUUUGUGUUGUCGUGGUUCGAAUUUGUGUUGUUGUGGUUCGGAUUUGUGUUGCUUUUGGUUCAAAUUUGUGUUGUUGUGGUUCGGAUUUGUGUUGUUGUUAUUGAAUAAGGUAUCUGCAGUUAUGGUGUUGCUGGGUUUUUCUAUGAAUCUAUGAAUGUUCUUCCUAAACUCAUACUAUUUUCUUUGUAAUUUUUGGGUUUGAUUUGAAAAAGGUUGGAACAGUAGAAAAUUAGGGUUUAUGAAUUGCUGCUGGUUUUCUGACGUGAACAGUGACUUCUGGCCCAUUUCCCAAUGAUUGACAGGGUUUUUAUAGUGACAAACUAGGGUUGGCUCUGGUACAAAACAAAGACCAAAAUGCCCCUGCAGCUGAGACUUGGGGACAAAGGCUUAACAAAUAAAUAAAUAAAUAAAAAUAAAAAGAAUGAAUAAAAAGAAAAAGAAAAAGAAAAGCAAAAGAAAAAGAAGAAAGGGAAGACGUAUGUCUUCUUCUUUUCUUUGUUGUGUUUUUUUUUAUAAAAAAAAAAAAAAAUAAUAAUAAUAAUAAUAAUAAUAAAAUAAAACAAUAAUAAACAAACUAAAAAAGACAAAUAAAAAAAAAAUAAUAAAAUAAUAAAAAAAAAUAAAAAGUCCCUUCGGAAUCUGACAUGAGGUACUUCAAAGUAUCCUCCCUGCCGAAAUUUCGAUUGAAAUGAUUAAUAAGAAAAGACGCCUUUUAAAAAAAAACGAUUAGGCCUUCUCUUUUUUGACGUGAUCGUUACGAUAAAAAAAACUAUGCGUCGUAAAAACGAAAGUGAGACGGUUUUUAAUUGUUGUGAAAUGCGAACGUUGAUUUAAAUGUAAAAAUAAAAACUUUUUGAAUGACUAAAGACAAGACACUCGAAUUUUAAAUGGUAAAAAAAACGAAUAAAAAGGGAACGUGAACCAUUUUAAAAUACGGACAAGAGAUUUUAAACGGUCCAAAAUUGGGGUAUGACAAAGCCCUUCUUACAAAAUCCUUUGAUCAUAGUAUUAUAUGUAUACACAUCAAUAUUGUAGCCAUUGACCAAAACAUCUUCAAAAACUUUUUGCGCAUCCUUUAGUCUUCCACUUUUGCAUAAUCCAUUGAUAAGAAUAUUGUAUGUGCACACACUUGGUUGUAUAUUGUGGUCUUUAAGUUUUGUUAACAAUUCAAUUGCCUUGUCAACAUGAUGGUUUUUGCAUAAAGCAUCCAAUAAAGAAUUGUAAGUAAUUAUAUUAGGUGGUUGACCUCUAUCAUGCAUCUCUCCGAUAAGUUUCAAAGCAUAUGAGAUUCUUCCCGAUUUGCACAAACCAUCAAUAAGGGAAUUGUACGUCACCACAUCGGGAAAAAUUUGUUUGCAAUGCAUUUCUUCAAAGAGUUUCAUGGCUUCAUCCACCAUUUUAAUCUUACAAAAUCCACUAAUCAUGAUACUGUAACUAUGAACGUCAGGAGCCACUCCAAUUUGAGCCAUAGUGUUGAAUAUACUUUCGGCCUUGUUCACCUCAUUUACCAGACAAUAUCCAUUCAUUAAAGAGUUAUAAGUAACAAUGUUAGGUUUUACAUCUUUUUUCAUCAUCACAACAAACACAUUUUUAGCUUCUUUCACUUUUCCUUCCUUACAAAAUGCAUCAACCAAUAUACUAAAGGUAUACACAGUUGGGUUGAUGUUUUCCAAUAUCAUUUUAUGUAACAAACCAAUUGCAUCUUUCAAUUGACCCAUAAUGCAUAAACCACAAAUUAAAGUAUUAUAAGUGACAACAGUAGGACAAAUUCUCUUAGCAACCAUUUCAGAAUAGAAAUCAAAAGCAUCGUUAACAAGUUUAUCUUUGCACACACCAUCAAUAAUCGUGUUGUACAUCACCACAUCAAGUCGAACCAAUUUCCCAUCAAUUCGUCUCAGCAUUUCUAAGGCAGCUUUUGUUUGUCCAACUUUACAUAACCCGUUGAUCAAGGUCCUGUAACUAACUUGGUUCAACUGAAAUCCAAGUGCUAACACCUUAUCAUGAAAGUGCAAUGCUUUAUGGAUGUCACCUUUGAGACAAAGACCCUUGAUGAGUGUAGUCAAAGUUAUGGCAUCCGGCUCAUAACCCUUUUUGAGAAUGUUGGAAAAUACUGAAAAUGAAAGAGAGUUAUGACCCAAUUGAGAAAAACAAUUGAUCAAGAUGCUCAAAGUGACCAAGUUUGAUGCGAUUCCAUUGAAUUCCAUUUGUCGAUGAAGGGAAACAACAAUGGAGUAAUGAUUAGCCUUGACAAGAGAACCUAAAAUCUUGCCAAAUUGGAUGAUGGAUGGUGUAGGGUUCUUCUGAUGGAGCAAGUGAUUGAAUGAGGAAACGAGAUUGUGUAAUUGAGAGUAUAAGGUUGUUGAGUUUGAAAAAGAAGAAUAAGAGGUGAAGCAAUGAAUUAGGAAAAUAGGGUUUAGAAAUUGGAAAUUAGGAAAAUUGGUAAUGAAAACAGAAAAAGCAACAAACCUCGAACGUGAAAACAACAUUAUUGUGGUUUAAGGAAUAUCACAGUUUGUGUUCGUAUGUCACUCAUUAAAAAAAAAACAUCUUGCUCCUUCUUAUCAUGACAGCAUAUCUUAGGAAUUCAACCUAACAUUGUAACUUUAGGUGUGUGUUCACAUGGGAAAGGUUAAUUCUUUCCUACCAUGGAAAAAUUGGAUUCAAUGAUCAGAUUAAGUGAAGAACAUAUUCUUAACAUGCUCUCUCAACACUAGAUUUUUCUUCACACUAUUUUCGAACAAUUUAAAAAUUCUGAAAAUUAAUUUUCAAAAAUUAAAAAAAUGGAAAAAAUAUAAAAAAAAUUCAGAUAAUUUUUUUUUUUAAUUUUGUAGUUCAUUUAUUGAAAAAAAAAUUAUUUCAAUAAAAUUAAAAUUUUGGAAACUAAGAUAAGUUUUAUUUUUCUAAAAAGAAUAUAUUUUUUUAAUUUCAUAAUAAAAUAAGAUAUUCUGAAAAAUAAAAUAAAAAUCCUAUAAAAAAAUUUGAAAUUAAAGUUUUUUAUUUUUCUAAGAAAAUAAAAUUCUGGAAAAUAAGGUUUUUGAAAUAAAAUUCUGAAUAAUUUUUUUUUCAUUUUUUCAAAAAAAAAAUUAUCUGAAUUUUUUUAUAUUUUUUCGAUUUUUUUAAUGUCUGAAAAUUAAUUUUCAAAAUUUUUAAAUUGUUAGAAGAUAGUUUGAAGAAAAAUCUAGUGUUGAGAGAGCAUGUUAAGAAUGUGUUCUUCACUUAAUAUAAUCAUUAAAUCCAACUUUCCUAACUUUCCGAUGGUAAGAAAGGAUUAACCUUUCCCAUGUGAAAUGUCACCGUAACUUUAAACAUCUUGAUUAAUUCUUUCUGCCAUCUGAAUCAAAUCAAUUUCACUUUUUUUAUAUUGGGUAAGAUUCUCAAGUUAGGUUACUACUAGAAAAAUUUCAUAUAGAGACGGGAGAUAUCUGUCUCUAAAUUGCAAAAUUUCCGUCACUAAACCUGUUAGAGACGGAAUUGGAGACGGAUCAAGUUCCGUUGUUAAUUUCGUCGUCUCUAAGUUUGUUAGAGACGGAAUUAAUAUUUCCGUCUCUGACUGGAGACGGAACAAAUUCUGUCUCUGAUUGGAGAUAGAAAAAUUCCGUCACUAACAAUAAAAAACCGUCACUCAAAGAUGAAACUGAUCAAUAUAAAUCCGUCUCUAGGGUAUAUAAUUCCGUCUCUACAGAGACGGAACUUAAAUUCCGUCUCUAAAUAUAUUGUUUUUUUAAAAAAAAAUAAAAAUGCCUCUAAAAUCAAAUCCACAAUAGCAAUUUUAAACUAUAUUGGUCUAAGCAAGCAUUUAAAAUUUAUAAACUUUACUUGCUUGAGUCAAUACAUAAUAUUCUAAUAGAGUUUAACUUCUCAUAAAAUAAGUUGUCAUUUAUUUACACUUGCAUCUUAUUUAAGCUUCACAGGUCAAAUUCUAGAUAAUGUGCACUCCAUAGCAUCCAUUAGGAAACCUGCACCCAAGAAAAUUAGUAAGCUCUAAAUAAUAAAGACUAAGACUAAUACUAUUUAUUAAUGAAAUUUUAACAAAUGAGAGAAUUAGAGACUAAUGUAACUUACAUCUUUGGUAAAACAUAAGGGAGCUUAUUUCUGAAUACAAUUCCAUAACCUUUUUGAAUGGCAACAGAAAAGCUGAUUAGUGACAUUGAAAAUUGUUAAAAAUAUGCCUUAAAUGGUUGAAUUAGAUCAGAUUUCAAGCUCUAAAUCUGGUUUAAAAGUAAUUAUAUAACUUGCUCCAAAUCUGAGACCCUAAACUUAUAAGAAUGCAUGGAAUCCUUGACUGCUGAAAAUGCGGAAAAACUUAGCCUAUAGGGAUCGAGACUUUACCUUUUAUUUGGUCCAUCACAUGUCGUGUUUCAUCUUUGGCUGGAAUUUUAAGUUCACAGCCAGUGACAAGUUCAACUCCAAGCAUCAAACCUUUUCCUCACAUCAGCAAUUAUCAUAGAAUAAAAAAACAAGUUUAUUAGAGACAUAGAGAGAGAAAAACAAACUCUGAUUCUUUUGUAAACAUAACUCAUGUCAGCUAUAACCUAUUGUCCUCCACUAUGUUACUCUCCCUAGAAUGAACUAGAUCUCCCACCUAUGCUUCCGCACGGGUCAUAUAUGGUUCACAAUAUCACUUGAAAAUAGAUUGAAAAUAGUGGAUCAGACACAAACCUGUAUUUUACGUAUAUAUGCCCAGAUACUCAAACACAAAACCUGUAAUGUCCCUGCAAUUCAGCUUCUAUAUAUUUAUGCAAACGUAUUGCAACAAUAACAGAAGUCCUUUCACACACUAUUUCCAUAGAAGAAAACACAAAACAGUACGUAUAUCAAGUUAAUAUCUUUCUCAACAUCUUUCAAGUUAAUAUUGAGAAAACAGUAAGCAAUAAGAAACUUUCUCAGACCCAUAGCGUAUCUCAGUUUUUAAAAUAUUAUUAAUCACAGUUUCAACAUCUUUCUCAAGCUCUCUGUCAUAAAAAAAAAUAAAAAAUCUUAAUUACAUAAGCAAUAAUAAACUUUCUCAGACUCUUUCAACAAAAUUACUCCACAUUCCACAUUCUAAUAUACAGAAUCAUACCUUGUCUGAAAAAAGAAAGCAAAUAAACAUAAAAAAUUAAGUUAAGCUUGAUUACCUAUCAUAUAUUUAGAGAAGUUAGAAACACUAAAACUUUAAAAUAAACUAUUAGCUGAACAAAAUUUAGGAGUGAAAACUCGUCAACUCAACAAUAUAGAAGACACUUUAAGCAAGAUUGGAUAUAUGCAAUAUUGCAACAAUAGCACUGUUAGAACACAGGUGUGGUCAAUGUAUGAAUAUACAAUAUACCUCUUAAGAAGGUAAGGCAUGUAAAGAAUGUAACCUUAAAUCAUAAAUUUAUGAGGAAAUUACAAUAGUUCUUGUUUUGCAAAUGCAGUAAAGGAAACAAAAGAAAAUUAGACAGAGAAAAUUUAAUCACAGUUUCCACAUCUUCCUAAGCUCUCUGUCAUAAAAAAAUAAAAUCUUAAUUACAUAAGCAAUAAUAAACUUUCUCAGACCUCUUUUAACAAAAUUACUCUACAUUCCACGUUCUAGUAUACCGAACCAUACUCAAAGGGCACUCUUUAUCGUUUCUUUUUGGGAAUAGAAGUUCUAAACAAUGCUUAAAAUAAAUAUUACAAAAAGAAUUUUCAUCUCAUUGUGGGUUACAAAAGCAAAGUAACAGCAGACACCAACAACCCAUUAUCUUAAGCUUCAACAUAAAAAUAAUAAGAACAAUACUAUAUGUGUAAAUAACCAUCAGUUCUGUAAAAAGAAAGGUAUUUUCCAUAUGUAAUAUACACCAAAAAACAAAUUCAACUUCUUACUUCGUAUCAUUGGUAGAUAUAUAUUUAUCCAUAAUAACAAAUUAUAGAAUGCAUUGACUAACUUGAAUGAACUUGAAGGCACUUUAAUACCAACAAAAUAUAAAUCCUGCUAACAUGUUUGCCACUGCUGCCACCAAUAUGCAUGGAAGAUUAUUUUCUUUUUUUAUUGGUUGCUUGUGGGACUAUCUCCACACAACUUACUACAUUUGCUCAAUGAUUUAGACCCUCCAUGAUCUAAGAUUUUGAGUAGAGAACUGCUGCAAUAAACUUCAAACUAAACCACAUUCCUACCACAAUCUUAAUCAUUAAAAUCAAUUCAUAAGAAAAAUGUCCAAUUUAUAAGUUUUUUCAUGAUAAAAAAUUGGCUAAUGACAAAAUAAACAAAAUUUUAAAGCGUGUCCAUACUCUUAUCUCAUUGUAAAGGCUUUUGAAACUUUUAGUUCUAUAAACUCAAUAAUAAUAUCAACAGAAAUAAGUGGACUACAUCAGCCUAUGAAAUAGAAAAUGUUUCAAUCUAAUUGAGUCCAACUAAACUACAUUGGCUUAUAAGUGGAAUCAUGUAAAUAUAAAGUCUUGAAACCUAAAACUUGGCUAAAACUUAAGCAUUACAGCAAACAGAGAAAAAGAGAUAAAAGAGUAAUAUCAAAUGCAUCACUCCUCAAUCGUUGAUAUUCAAAUUCAAAAUCAACCAACUCACUAAAUAAUAAUGAUAAAUUGAAAUCAUAACUCAAUAUUGAUAAUCACAAAAUCAAUAAUAGAAUAAACGUAAUCACAAACCCAAUCAUAGAAUAAACGUAAUUACCAAUAAACAUCCAAAUAUGCAGUACACACUCACCGAAGCUCAAAGCACACACUAUAGAUCGGGGUACACAGAGGAUUAGUAGGUGCCCUGCACUAACAGUGGCUCACUCAAUCUAAAUUAGUGACGAAUAAAUCCUUCUAUAGUUACUACUGUACUGACGAAUAAAUCCACAACAACAUAAACAAAUAUAUACCUAUAGAUGCAUAGUAGAUUGGUUGCUUUUGUUUGGUCUGCCACUUGCUCGCUCUACUGCUAUCUUGAACUUGUACACAAAAAAAUAAAAGGAAAUAAAAACUUAGGGAUUUAGACAUAAGCAUCUCAUAACAGCCAGAAGGAUGAUUAAACCCACCAAUAAUCUUUAAUGUUAAAUCUGUUAAACUAAAACACCUCAAAAUAAAAUAAAAGGUGGAGAAACAAAGAUUGAAUUAUAAUACUAACCACAACCUAAAAAAAUUAAAAAUUAGCAACAGAAUUAGGAAAAUUAUUAAUCCAAUUCACUUUUUUCAAAAAUAGAAAACUUCUUUGUGAGAUUUUGGCUAGUGACACAGUUUUCCCCAAAUCAAAAGAAAAACCCUAAAAUCUUCCUAAACCACCAGAAUCAAACUCAUCAAUAGAAUUUUCAAAGCAAACAAGAAUAAAAAAGAAGACAAUAAAACAACAACAGAGAAAAACACUAAAAAAUUGAUGGUUGUGAAAGUGGAACUCACGUGAAGAACAACCCUUGGGUGCGAAAGAGACCCAUGAAGCUUUGAAUCCCAAGUGUGAGUGAGAAAAAGAGGAUGAACGAGGAUGGAUUGGAAGAGGACUUUCAGCUGAGCAAAAAUCGCAAACGGGAGUCAACAUAGGAAGAUCUAUCGAAAUUAGAGAGAAACGAAGGUGAAUGAGGGUAUUUUGUGAGUGAGGGAAAGUGAAGGAAUAGGAUUAUUGAAAGGGUUUUUGGCGAGUGAGGGAAGAAAUUAACAUGAAAGGUGGGAAAUUUUGCUUGAGAGGGAACCUGCAAAUUGAUUUAGGGUUUUGUGAAAUGUGAACCGAUGGGGGCAAUUUUGGGGUGAAUUGAGUUUUUGGGCCAACAUAGAGGUAAAAAGGGUUAGAUUUUGUUUUAAAAAUAUAUAUAUAUAUACUUAGAGACGGAUUUUGACACGGAAAACAUUUGUCAUGGAAAAUUCUGUCUCAAAUAUCUGUCUCUAACCUUAGAAUUUCAAAUCUGUCUCUAACUAUAAAAUUCUGUCUCUGAUUCCGUGUCAGUUAGUGACAGAUCAAAUUCCGUCUCUAAAUUCCGUCUCUAAAUUCCAGCUGAUACACGUUAACUACACUUAUGAAAGGUCUUUGUCUUAAUGGCGAGGUUAGGAAAGCUCUUUACUUUCAUGAUCAUGUUAUAGCAAAGGGAUUUCAUCUGAAUCAUGUUAGUUAUGGGACAUUGAUCAACGGGUUAUGUAAAUCCAGAGAUUGAACGGUUGUUGGUUAAGCCUGAUGUCGUCAUGUACAACACAAUCAUUGACAUUCUCUGUAAAGAUAAGCUUGUUAGUGAUGGGUGUGAUUUAUAUUCUGAAAUGAUUGAUAAGAAAAUUUAUCCUGAUGUCGUCACUUACAAUACUCUAAUAUACUCCCUCCGUAUUUUAAUAUAAGCAAAAUGGAUUUUUUAGGUUCAUUCAUUUAAUGAUGUACGUGGUACAUAUUAUGAACCACAUACAUCAUUAAAUAAAUGAACCUAAAAAGUCAAUUUUGUUUAUAUUAAAAUACGGAAGGAGUAUGGUUUUUCCAUUUUGGGUCAAAUGAAAGAAGCAGUUGGUUUGUUAAAUCAAAUGACAUCUAAAACCGUCACCCCGAAUAUUCGUACUUUUACUACAUUGGUCGAUGGGUUAUGUAAGGAUGGAGAGGUCAAAAAAGCUAGAAAUGUGUUGGCUAUUAUGAUAAAACAACGUGUGGAACCUAAUAUUGUUACUUAUAAUUCUUUGAUGGAUGGGUAUUUCUUGGUUAAAGAAGUCAACAAGGCCAAACAGUUAUUCAACACUAUUUCUCUAAGGGGAAUGACUCCUAAUGUUCGUAGCUACAAAGUCAUGAUUAAUGGAUUAUGUAAGAAUAAAAUGGUGGAUGAAGCCGCAAAUCUUUUCAAAGAAAUGCAUUCCAAAAAUAUGGUUCCUGACACUGUAGCAUACAAUUCCCUAAUUGAUGGACUUUGCAAAUCAAGGAGAAUAUAUGAUGUUUGGGAUUUCAUAGGUGAGAUGCAUGAUAGAGGUCAACCAGCUAACAUAAUCACUUACAAUUCUUUAUUAGAUGGAUUGUGCAAAAACCAUCAGGUUGACAAGGCAAUCACAUUGUUAACGAAGAUCAAGAAUCAAGGAAUUCGGCCAAAUAUCUAUACAUACACUAUACUUGUUGAUGGACUGUGCAAAAAUGGAAGACUUAGGGAUGCACAAGAGGUUUAUCAGGAUCUUCUGAAUAAAGGCUAUCAGUUAGAUGCUAGGAUAUAUACUGUGAUGAUUAAUGGGCUUUGUAAAGAAGGGUUUUUGGAUGAAGCAUUGUCCUUACUCUCAAAAAUGGAAGACAACAAGUGCACUCCUGAUGGUGUAACUUAUGAAAUUACCAUUCGUGCUUUGUUUGAAAGCGACAGAAAUGAGAUUUUAUAUAUCUUUAUUUUUUUAUGAUGUCCCCCGUUUGAUUUAUAUAUAUAUUUUUUUUAACAAGUCAAAAUGAGAUUUUAUAACUACAAUAAAGCAAUUUCGAAAGUAUAAGAUGCGCCUUUGAGACUAUUAAAAGGAACAAAGAGUAUCCAAUUCACAAACAUACAACAUCAGCAUUAGUCGAUGCCCAAACAGACAAAAGGGCACGACCACCAUUGCUGAGUACUAAAAACAAAAGUAAUUUUUUUAGCUUUCAACCAACCUAACGACAACAUCUUAACUUUGUCUAAUAAGCUGGGAAUGGGAGUAACAAUAUUUCUAAAGAGGCGAUUAUUACGUUCAUUUCAUACAACCCAAGCACACAGAACCAAAUGAGUUGCAUGAAAGGGCGUCUAGUUUUAUUUGCCCUUGUCAAAACAGUAAACUGCAAUAAAUAAUCAGAAAUGUUAUUAGUGUCAACGAUAUAUAAAUGAUUUAUAUAUCUUAUUUGUCCUUAGAUUUAAUUUAAUUUAUUUUUUUACAGAAAUUCAUUAUAGUUUUAAGUGUUUCAAAUUUGACUUCUGAUAUGUCAACAAAUUACAUUUGUAAAGAAGAAGUGUAAUAAAAAUUAUACAUCUUUGAUUAUUUUAUACCUUUUCAACACUUCAUUUAUCUUCAUCUUACUUCUUAUAUAUUUUUUAACAAAUCUCUUCUU
rnacentral:lncRNA from 1 species